rnacentral:rRNA from 1 species
CAGCCGCCGCGGUAAAACGUAGGUGGCAAGCGUUGUCCGGAAUUAUUGGGCGUAAAGGGCUCGCAGGCGGUUUCUUAAGUCUGAUGUGAAAGCCCCCGGCUCAACCGGGGAGGGUCAUUGGAAACUGGGAAACUUGAGUGCAGAAGAGGAGAGUGGAAUUCCACGUGUAGCGGUGAAAUGCGUAGAGAUGUGGAGGAACACCAGUGGCGAAGGCGACUCUCUGGUCUGUAACUGACGCUGAGGAGCGAAGGCGUGGGGAGCGAACAGGAUUAGAUACCCCUGUAGUCCCUGUCUCUUAUAC